GGCUGGGGGAGUCAUAGAUUCUGUCGCGUGGCCGAAAUUUCUUAAAAUAUUUCAUAUUUUGAUUCAACUUUCGUCGACAAAUGGCUUGAGAACGAUGGAAAGGUCCCAAAGAAAGUCGUAACUCGUGGUUACAGCAAUUUCUGCGAAGGCUAUAUAUCUUUGAUAUCGAAGUGAAAACACUAGAAGCAGGUGUCGUCGUAAGAACUCGAAGCUACAGAUCACAGCGGAAAAAUGAAGAGCCAUGGAGGUUGCAGGUUGAAAUCUGAAGGGCUUGUGAAGUACAAAUAUCAAACACCUCUUGCAACUGUGAGGCAGGAUCAGGAAUGUGCAACCAUGCAAUAGAGUUGGUUUAUCUCCUUGAGCACUAUCAAAAAUUGGGUUUACGAAGUGUACCUCUGCUAUGUCCAAGACAAGUUUGCCUCAAAGAAUGGCCGGGAUAAAUUCUCGGGAAUUGCAGGAGGUGCUGGUAUUGCAGGUGAAACUACCAGCCAAAGGUGGGGAAGUGAAAAAAAAAAAACAACAACGCAGGGUAGAUGGAUCAAUCCCUGGGGGCUGCUGGAAAUCAAGUGCCCCCUCAGUGAUCCAGUCUCAGAGCUGAAAUAUCUUUAAUGUGGAAAUGGACUCUAUAAACUCAAACUCUGUGAGUUUGUGUCAGCAGUGAGCUAAGCCAUAGUCUAUAGUGGGCUUAAGUAAGUUUAUUGAGGAUAAUUACUGUACUGUCUUUUGGAGUCACUCCUAAGUAAGAAUAUUGUUAUGUCAUUUAAUUAAGUAGUUGAGUUUAUAGGAGUUUAUACCUCCCUGGACAUGGAGGUAUUACCAUUUUCUGGAUCACACAGAUUUACAAAAAGAAACUUUCCUUACUGAAAUUCAAUUGUAUUUGUUUUGGUUUAUUAAGCACACAUUGCAAAGAACCUGCUUAACUUAGUUGAGGUGUCACAAAUGUUAUUAUAGAACCAAGGUUUUCUAAACAAAAUUAAUAGGAAAUUAAAGUUUCAAUAUAAUGGCCCUCUAAAAUUAGUCAGAAGGCAGCAUAUAGUCCAAAUUUGGUUUACUGAACCAGCCAGUGAAAGAGGUAAAACUUGUUCAAAAAUUUGGUACUCUUUUAUUUGCCUGAUUUCCCUCUCAGCAUGGAUAUGGAGGUGGGCAAUUUGUUGGGUAUCAGUCACUUCAGUCUCUAGUGCUGAACUGUAAGGACUUUGCUCUUAACAAGAAUGGUGGGAUUGUCAAGUUAGCUUUUUUAGUUUCCAAUAAAUCCUGUAUUAAGAAACCCUUAUCUGCCAUUACCUUGUCUCCAUCUGUGACAAGCAACAGAAAUCCACUGUGCCUUGUCAUUUCUUUGUCUGAUAUACUUCCCUGAUAUGAGGAACUAACAAAUGUUACUGUGCCAUGAGGAGCUAUACCAGCUAAGUAUUUGAAUGUGGUAUAUGACUUGUAUGUGUAUGCAAAAUUUCUGAGUUCAAGACCUUGGAGCUAGGCCUCUGGACUUUGAUCUCAGUGCAGUCUAGGAUUAUCCUUGUUUUAGGGUAUGUGGCUUUGAAGCACUGAGGCAUACUCCUUUUAAUCUGAGCAGUUGUGGGCCAAAUUGGCACUUGGCCAAGCAUUGAAACAGAAAAUUUGCCCAAGUUAUAAUAAUUCUGCUGACAGUGCUUGUGUUAAUAUUGAAUCUCACUCCUAAGUUUGUCUCCCGCAAGCCUAAUCUCAGUCUGACAGUGCAAAAUUAUCAGUGCCACGCCUUCGCUGGUAGUUUUCUUCACCUCUGCCACGUUGAAUCUGGGUUUUAUCAUGGUUUUAGCAUAUGGCUCAACCCAUUUGUAAAAGCUAUCAAAUCGUUCUUUCGUUGCAAAGCCUGUGUAUAAUGCAAGCAACUCCGGAUCCUUUGAAAUGUUUUCAGCACCAAAUUUGGACUCUUAAAAAUCUUUGACUUGUUAAUCUAGAUCUUUGAUUCUGGCCAUAAGUAUUUCAAUUUGUUCCUCAGGGCUUAUUUCGGCCGGCUGAAUGUUUUCGUUUUCCGGUUCGUCCGUGGCCAUUCCUUGCAUUGGCUCAGCACCAGCCCAAGUUUCCUGCCCUGCUGACUCAGCCUCCUCUUCUUCCAUCUCGACAUCUUGCUGGAGUGAACCGACCAAGAAUUGACGUCGCUCCUAUUGUGCUUGCUGGUCCGCAAUAUUUUUCAAUUCUUGCAAUUUGUUUUUUCGGCACUCUUUUCCCUCCUUAGUCCAUGCAAACUGCGGUUGGCACAACUCCAGGUUUUAGCCGUGUAACCGUAACCCAAGUUAUAGUCCCAUACAUAUCCUCUGGCUUGAAGUGAGCCGUGCACACCAGAGUAGAGCCUUUCUUUAUCUGGAAAAUUUGUUUAAAAGCGUAAGUUAUAACGAGAAUAAACUAGGGAGGAUCUCAUUUCUUACAUAUGACAAAAUCCGAGCUAA